CCACUGUGCUGGGCCAGGGAUCCAACCUGUGUUCCAGUGCUCCCAAGAUGCUGCUGAUCCCAUUGCCCCAAAGUGGAAACUCCUGGAAUUCUUUGUCUAUAACUCAUUUAAUAAAUUUAAGAGCAUGCAUCAGUGAUCUUCAUCCUCAUAGAAAGUGAACAGCACCCAUUUUAUUUCCUUCACCCAGCCCCACACAGAAAUAGGAUGCCCUUUAAGAUUUUAUCUCCAGCUUUUCUUCAAUUUUAAAGAUAUUUUCCUGGGCCUAGGCUUUUUAAUUUUUCUGAAGCAAAAAUGAAUAAAUACUGUGUCUAUGGUGGAUAAAAAAAGAUAAGUAAUCUUACUAGUUUGCCAAAUAUACACUUCCAAAAAAAAAAAAGGAGGCAUUUACUGUCUUAAGUCAGGCUAAAAAUAAUAUUAUUUAAGGGUGUAUAGGUAAUUGAAGAAAUCAAGUUUUCCCUUCACUUACUAUCUGGAUAAUUGCCUAAUUUUCCCACUGUCAUCAUCCUGUCCUGCUAGUGUUGCUUUAUACACAACCUGGUCUUCCCUUUUGUUGUAUUUAUUUUUUCUUUAAGACACCCUUCAAAUAUUAAAAAAAAAAGAGAGAGGCUAUACAAUUUGCAUCAUGACUUAAAACUAUUAGAAGAUAGGAAUUCAGUAGUUGAGACAAUGCGUUUCAAAACUCCAAAAGAUAACAGGUUUAAAGAAAUUGGCAUAUGUUAGUGAUUAUGCAAUCAUUCAUUUCCCACAGAUUUCUUUUUAUAGGAAACUUUGGAAAAUCCCAGAAGAACUGACCGAGUCAUUUCAACCACAACAGGUUUCUUUCAACAUCAAAAUCAUGGGUAGGAGUGGGCGAGGAAUAAUUUUCUUUCUUUUUUUUUUUAAAGGCAUGGGCAGCCUGGUUCUGAGUGUGCAAAGCUGUGGCUUCCCCUCCUAUAGACGCCUUCUGAACAGCAAAUCUGACUUCCUCCUCAGACCAAGGCAUCCUGAAAACAUCCAAGCAGAGGAAGCAUUUUUUCACCAUGACAUGGGAAAGGGCCACAGAGAUCCAAAUGGAAACGGACAUUUCAUCUGGUUUACAGUGUUCUGUCAGUUUUCUACUGUACAGCAAAGUGACUCAGUCACACACACACAGACACACACACACACACACACAUAUACAUUCUUUUUCGCACAUUAUCUUACAUCAUGCUCCAUCAUAAGUGACUAG
rnacentral:lncRNA from 1 species